UCUUUCAGCAUAGUUUAGUUUUUGUAUUUUUUAAUAAUAGUUUCUUAGUAGUUAUUAUUUUAAUUAGUUUUUAUUAAUAUAAAAUGAGUGUGAAAGGUGGCUGUUAUUGUAUGGUACGUGGUUGUAAUACCAGUACUGUUGGCACGAAGAUAAGUAUGUUUUGCAUACCAAAAGAUCUAGAAAGAUCAAAGCAGUCUAUUCGACUAUACUACACAAAAGAGGAGUGGGUAGUCAAUUUUUACAAAAUUUAAAAACAAUAGAGCACCAUUUUGAUUGUUCAAAUUUUCCUACAAAGUUUUUAUUAAGCUUGUUUAUUAGAUUAAGAUUAUUUUAUACCUUAAAGUAUCACAAUCGGAAUAUGAAAAAAACACCUGUAAAUGGACCAAGUGCAAAAUUUAAAAUUGUUAAUAAUUUAUAAAAUAAAUAUUUUUAAAUGA